rnacentral:rRNA from 1 species
GACGAACGCUGGCGGCGUGCCUAAUACAUGCAAGUAGAACGCUGAAGAGAGGAGCUUGCUUUUCUUGGAUGAGUUGCGAACGGGUGAGUAACGCGUAGGUAACCUGCCUGGUAGCGGGGGAUAACUAUUGGAAACGAUAGCUAAUACCGCAUAAAAUGGAUUAUCGCAUGAUAAUCCAUUGAAAGGUGCAAAUGCAUCACUACCAGAUGGACCUGCGUUGUAUUAGCUAGUUGGUGGGGUAACGGCUCACCAAGGCGACGAUACAUAGCCGACCUGAGAGGGUGAUCGGCCACACUGGGACUGAGACACGGCCCAGACUCCUACGGGAGGCAGCAGUAGGGAAUCUUCGGCAAUGGACGGAAGUCUGACCGAGCAACGCCGCGUGAGUGAAGAAGGUUUUCGGAUCGUAAAGCUCUGUUGUAAGAGAAGAACGAGUGUGAGAGUGGAAAGUUCACACUGUGACGGUAUCUGACCAGAAAGGGACGGCUAACUACGUG